CAAAACGUACCUACGAAAUUUGAUUAUUCUUUUUAACCGCGAUAUUCAAAUAUAGAACGCGAGUCACCUACGCAGACUUUCGUCGACGAAUGGCCGGCGAUGAAUACGCGGGAAACUUGUUCGCCUUUAGUUUUUAUUGUGAAAUUUUUUAACUGAACGUCGUGUUUAUAUUAUAUAAAUUAGUUUAGAGCACAUCAAUCAAGCUGUUCGGAAGUCGCAUAUGUUAAUGGCUGCAAUAAUAGUUUUGUUUUUGGUAAUUCCGAUUCUGGAAUGCGAAGACACGCAUCGUCUCCGACUGUCAACGCACGCUUUGGAAUCUCUGGAGGUGCUAUCCAUAAGUUUUUGAGAGCAGAGGGUGAAGAUGUACUUAGCCAUUUCCGGCUUAUCUUUGAAUUCCAUCGAGUAGUUGGUUACAGUUUUUUUUUUUUUUUUAAUUAAGCACUUUUCAAACCGUGCAGUGAAUUGUUCAUCCCAAAUGACAAUAAUUACAAUUCAGUGAUCAGUUCUUUAAUUGUUAUUGUGUAAUACUUCACUUCCAAAUGGCCACUAUUGGCCACUUUCUUAGACAUUAUAUGGCUCUAUACUUAACAUAAUUCAGCUUAUUUUGAAAUUAAACAAGUGCAGGUUUAAUAUUGAAAUAAGGCAAUAUUGUGAAAUGAAUGGUAUAAUUUUGAUUUUUUGGAGUGAUCUUGAUGCUUCACUUCAGACCUCGCGAAACCUGUUAUAUAAUUACGAAGCGGGGUGAAGCACGAGUUCACGGCAGACCUGGUGCUAAUUAUAAACUGAUGACGAUAA